rnacentral:sRNA from 1 species
CCGCCGUGGAGCAUAAAUAACCCUAAUACCCUAACCGAGCUGGCGUCCUAUGCCACAGGGAGAUCGUGUGGAAUUUUUGCCGGCUGACGCUCAGACUGUCAGACUGUCCCUCUGCGAUCCUCGCAGCACAAAACGAAGAUAAAUAUUUAAUUUCCCCAUCUCCCAACCAGCUCUGUUAUUGGCGUGUCAUUCCUACAUAUCUUCAUCUCUUUUUUCGUGUAUGCAAUGGCAUUUCUCACUCUUUGUGCCCUGGAUUUCGGCAGUUAGCUGAACGGAAAGAUGGUCCUGGCCCGCACCCGCGACCAUCUUUCUUGGUAUAGAUAUAUGUUUAUAUAUAUUCUAUGCACAAUUUCCAUUGACGUAAAAGUUCAUUAUUUUCCUAAAAUUAUCCUCACUCACUCGAUCGGAUAUCUUUACCCUGGCACUGUCAGUUCGAAAGCAUAUUUCGUAUGAAAUUUAAUAUUUUUUUUCUCUGCUCCAGGUUUCCUGCCUGCUGCCAUUUUCUUUUUUCUUUUUUCUUUUUUCACUUUCAUUUUUUAAACAGUAUUAUUUUCUUGCAAUACACUCUGGAAUCUUGAGGAAACAAUAUCCACUUUCUUUCUUGUGUCCUUAGCUGUUGUAUUAUUUUCGGUGUUGGCUACUCUGUUCAAUGCUGGGUUCGAAAGACUGAGGCACAAGGAACCUAGGAAACACAGG